UUAAAAAUUCUUAUAUAUUUAAUUUUCCCGAACUUAGAAGAGCGAUCUGGUUAUAAAUUUUAUUGUUGAAUAAAUAUUUAAAAUAUCUAGGUAGUAAUGAAAUGUUAUUCGUUUCUAAAUAUAUCUGGUUUUCUCAGAAAUAAAUUUAAUUUAGCUUGUUUAUUCAAAUUGGUUUAAUAAGUAAUCAAUUUGGUAGGUGUAGUAAUAUGUUAAGGGAUGAGCUUUGACAUGUAAUUUUAUAAAGUUGGUUAUAUUAGUUAAGAUAAAUAGGAUUAGAAUUUUCCAUUUUUAUGAGGAUGUUAUAAUUGAUUUUGUUUUAUAUUUUAUUUAUAUUGGUUUUAAGUUUUAUAUGAGACUAUAGCUUCAAAUUUUGAUUGGUUAGUGAAAAUGAUUAAAUUAGUAUAGUUAAUUGUAUAUUUAAGGGGUAUUUUAAGGUUAAUAAAAGGAAUUCGGCAAAUAAUUUUUUACCUGUUUAUUAAAAACAUGGCCUUUUGAUUAUGAUUUCAGGUCUAGCCUGCCCGCUGAGGCGUUGAAUGGCCGCGGUACUCU
rnacentral:rRNA from 1 species